GCCGGCAUAGCUCAAUCGGUAGAGCUUGAGACUCAACCUCAGGGUUGUGAGUUUGAGCCCCAUGAUGGGCU